rnacentral:misc_RNA from 1 species
AUUUACUGAACCAAUCGACAAAAGAGAUCACAUGGACGAGUCCAAAGCUUCACCCAAUAACGAUGGACGUGGAUAUGAUGUGUACUGUUUACAGGGACAAUGCUUCCGAAUACAGCGUCCUAUUUUUUGAUUUAGUGUGCCCAAAUGUUUUACAAGAAACGAUGCAGAAACAAGACAUUGAUGGAUCAGAAUUCUGGCUUGGGAUCCUUUCUCCGCGGAGAAGGCAUCGCAAUUGCGCACAGUGUAAUCGUAGUCGAUCAGCUGGGGAAAGGGUCAUCAUUUCCAUCGUCAAAGAGACCAAAAAAAUUUUCCAAGAUCCAAAGUCAAGAACAUGCGGAAGGAAUGAUGUGUUGAAGAGGAAACUGAGUGUUGUUGUUUCGAUCAGAACAUCUGGCUUAAGAUCCCAUCUCCGAG